rnacentral:tRNA from 1 species
GCCUCGGUAACGCAGUAGGCAGCGCGUCAGUCUCAUAAUCUGAAGGUCGUGAGUUCGAUCCUCACUCGGGGCA